UCUUCAUUCCGCAUGCUCUCUCGCCGGUAAGAGUGACGAGAGAGAGUGUGGGAAAUGAAGAGA
rnacentral:pre_miRNA from 1 species